UCUUUAUUCGAUUUUCAUUUGAUUGUGUGGAAUACGUUUUUAUUUAGUGAUUGAUGGAUUUCGAUUACUGUUGCUUAGAUUUUUUUUGGCUGAACGACUUUGGUGGCGUGCAGUUUUAUUCUCCAACAUGGUGGUCUAUCAUGACAUCAUGCUUAUUCACUCAUCUACUUGUAAAUUUUUAUAGAUUAUUAGUUUAUUUAAGAUCGAAUAAUUAGGGAUUUGUUAAAAUUUUUGAAUUUUGAGAACAGUUUUAGGCGAUGAUUGUAGAAUUUUUAUAUUGAUGUGACUAUGUUGUAAAGAAUUGCUUCAUUUUAUAGCCAAAAUAAGUAAAAUAUUUCUCAAAAAUAUUAUUCUGCCUUCAAAAUUCAAUAUUGCCCUUAGAAAAAGUUUUAUUUUUGUCUUCUUAUUCUAGAGAUUGGGUUUUAACUUAUUUUUUUUUUCCCCUAUAAUAUAGGCUUGCUUUGAGCUAAUAUCCUUGGAUCAUCUGGAUGAACUACUUAGCUAUGGAAAAUCUGUGGCAGAGACAUAUUUCCAAAAAUGCUUUUAACAAGCUGCUGGUCGAGAAAUUCAUGUUAACAAUGUUGUUUCAACAGGUUUCCAUUACAACAUAAUAAAUAAACAUGGUAAAUCAAAAGGAAUCGAAACGUGGAGAAGCACACUUCACACUUGUUUCUCUUGGACUUGAAAAGGAGCUAUUUGUCGAAAGGGUUAUCAUUUAAACAAGGAGUCAAAAAAUAAGAAGGAUUCGACAUGUAGAGAAGUGGAGAUAUCAUCAUUCCUGGAUUAUAUUUUUGAUUUGCUGUUUUCGUCUUCAACUUGCAACAUGAUGGAGUGAAUUUUCAACAGAUGAAUGAGUGAGCAAGAGGAGAUUGAUUUGUUUGAAUUCCACCCCAAGUUUUUUGCUAUGGUAUUCCUCCUGGAUUUAGUUUGCUUUUCACACCUGCAAACCUGAGAAUGUUACAUUCCUCUGUUUAUUAAGAUCGACGGUGGAG
rnacentral:lncRNA from 1 species